rnacentral:lncRNA from 1 species
CAGCUCAGUUAAAAAAAAGUCUCGAUCUCACGAGUCAAGUCUAGAUCCCAAUAUCUCUCACGACUCUUCCCUUCCUCUAGAUCAGCAAAAGAGAAAGAACUCUGGAUCUCACAAGUCAAGCUCUGCCAGCAGCGACCGUCCGCACAUGGUAUGAGCCAGAUUUGUCAACUACUGCUAAUAAGCAGUCUUGAUCACGUACAUGCAACAGCUCAUGAGAAAAGCUCUCUGAUCUUUGUCGGAUAUGGAUGAGCCUGCCAUGAUCAGAAUACUAGAUGAUGGGCAGCCCUGAGGACGUGUGUCAACCAAAUCGAGGAUCCUGAUGUAUGUCUCCACCAGCUCCGCCCUCCACAUGUGAAGCAAUGCCAUCAUGCAGGUUCAAUCUAUACAACUCUAUACUCUAUACACGUGCUAAUGCUAAAUCUAGGAGUUCUCCGUCUGCUUUAAUCUUUUUCCUCUUUAAUUUUCUAUCAUCAUGUAUCACUGGUAUGGUGAAUUUGUUUUACAGCAUGGGUUUGGUCUUAUUCUCUUUGUCGUCUGUCUCAUCUCUUAUCCCUGUGUACACUAGAACCCCAGGUUUCAAGGCCAAGGAAAGCACAAAAUACAAUCAUAGAAAUUUCUGGGAUGUGGUUGCAAGCUCAGGGUCAACAAAGUCAAUGGAAGAAGGCCAACAGCGUAUGCAUGUUAUACUCCAGUAAGUUAUCCUCUUUACAACCUAUAUAAGUUCAUAUAAAUCCUUUUUUAACAAAAGGAGACGCCAUGCAGAUUGAUUCUUUAGAUUGUCGCUGAGUCUAAUUACCUAGAUAUUUGGAAUAUUCCACUUUCAUACAACCCCCUCAUGGAGUCGCGGUCAUGGUCUUGAUCUUUCUCAUCAAUCGAUCUAUCGAAUGUGGCAGGUCUUGCGGCCAAAUAAAGGGAAGAAGAAAUAUCCAUUCCCAAAGACUACAACAACAGGAGCAAUCGUGGCAUCAAGAACAUGGAUGUUGAGAUGAAAUCGGAUGCGCUCCCGCAAUAUCACGUAGAACCAGGUCAAGAAAUUUCUCCCAGAUGCAUGGGAUAAAGAUAUACUCUUUCCGUUCUUCAAUAUAAGUUUUUUAGAAAUUCUAUUAGAAACUACAUACGGAUGUAUAUACACAUACUCUAGAGUAUAGAUUCACUCAUAUUGCUCCAUUUAUA